GACGAACGCUGGCGGCGUGCCUAAUACAUGCAAGUAGAACGAGUUGCGAACGGGUGAGUAACGCGUGGUAACCUGCCUCAUAGCGGGGGAUAACUACUGGAAACGGUAGCUAAUACCGCAUAUUAUUCGAGCGGCCGAUAACUGAUUAGCUAGUUGGUGGGGUAAAGGCCUACCAAGGCGACGAUACAUAGCCGACCUGAGAGGAUGACCAGCCACACUGGAACUGAGACACGGUCCAGACUCCUACGGGAGGCAGCAGUGGGGAAUAUGGCACAAUGGGCGCAAGCCUGAUGCAGCCAUGCCGCGUGUAUGAAGAAGGCCUUCGGGUUGUAAAGUACUUUCAGCGGGGAGGCGUUACCCGCAGAAGAAGCACCGGCUAACUCCGUGCCAGCAGCCGCGGUAAUAC
rnacentral:rRNA from 1 species